rnacentral:rRNA from 1 species
UACGAAGGGGGCUAGCGUUGCUCGGAAUCACUGGGCGUAAAGCGCGCGCAGGCGGCUAUCCAAGUCAGUGGUGAAAGCCCGGAGCUUAACUCCGGAACUGCCAUUGAAACUGUUUAGCUUGAGGACGAGAGAGGUGAGUGGAAUUCCCAGUGUAGAGGUGAAAUUCGUAGAUAUUGGGAAGAACACCGGUGGCGAAGGCGGCUCACUGGCUCGUUUCUGACGCUCAGGCGCGACAGCGUGGGGAUCAAACAGG